GCCCCCAUAGCUCAGGGGAUAGAGCAUCGGCCUCCGGAGCCGUGUGCGCAGGUUCGAAUCCUGCUGGGGGCG
rnacentral:tRNA from 1 species